AAUAGCAUCUCGCUUCCGCAUAACACACUGCACCGAAGUAAAAGGCAAGCAAGAUUUUAAAGCAAUUUUCUGCAAAAAUGGAAUUACCGAUACCUGCCAAGCUCCCUUCGACCAUUUGUGUCUUGUCCAGGUGUUGCUCGUGAGCUCGCCACCCAGCUUGUAUUUAGUUCUGUUGGUUGAUGUUGCUGGAGUCACGUAUCUCGUCAUGUUACCUUGACUGAUGACUGGUGAAACCUUCAUGCCAGGAUUUUAUCAGGGCCCAAAGGUGCUAGGAGGAAAUGGUCUGGCUCAACUCCGGAGGGACGCCGCAGAUGGGCUUGACCUUUUGCGGCGUGUCAAGCAAAGAAAGCCAGAAGGCAGAAAAGACGGAAUCCUCGAGGCAGAUGCUGCUGAGGAACGAAGCCCUGUAAUCUCACGUCAUUUCAUGUAUAUUCUAAUGUGAAGAGCUCCACCUAUGGACCACCUGUUAAACUACAAUGACACACAAAACCAUCUCCCACUGAAGUCAGUGAUAAAGGUGACAGUGGAUCUUUUCGACUGGUGAUCUUCAGCUCUCCCCCCCGGCUACAGUUACCAUCUCCCACAAUCUUCCAAAAUGGCAACUGAACAGAACAGGUGAUCUGUCAUAUCUAGGUCCUCAGAGCGAGCGGCACACGCACACACACACACACACCGUGUGUUGGUCACUGGCAUGUGGGCGGUGGGGACACCCCGGCUUGGCACUGCCACGAGUUUACUUUCAGCCGCAUGCCACGGUGGCAGCCACGGCAGAGCAAACACGAUCCGAGCGUGACCAUGUCGUGAUAGACAAAUGCCAUCAGGUAAGGCAGAGCUGGAUUUCACGCAAAAGUUCCUGACAGAAGGCGCAGAGCAGGCGGGCGAGGAAAUAAAUGAGUGAGAUGCCGAGAGAAAAGGAGGGAGUCUGUGAUGGGAUGCUGAGAGCGGCUCCGCCGAGGAUGCAUUUCAGCUUUUCAGAGUGGGAGACAGCCUAGUGAAUAUGCAGAGCUAAAGGGGGCACGCGGAGCCAAUGCAACACAAGUGUCAGACCCCGACUGCACCUGAAGUGGCGGAGCUUGACCUGGGUGUCAAUCAUUGGGAAAGGCCAGGGAACAGUACAAGGAAUGCUUGGAUUUGACCCAAAAACUACAGUUCGACUCAUAAAAAUGUACACAUUUUUCAUUUCAGCACCAAAAAAAAAAAUGCAAACCUGCUACUGGAUGUUAGUAAAGAAAAUCUCAAUGUGUGUUUUUGAAGAACCACAGUCCAACAACGAGUGCCAUAAACUCACCUGACAUGAACUGAGCUGACUACUGUUUGCAACUACAUACUUGCAAUGCAAUCUAUCAUGUAUUUUCUAUAAUAUUUGUCCUCAUUAUGAUUGGGGGUGAGCUAGAGCCUGUCACAGCUGACACAGGGUGAGUGACAGGCGCACUCGGGAAUGAUUGCUAAUUGAUCACAGAGCAUAUAACAUUCCCAGUUACAUUCACACUUAUAGCCCAAGCAGGGGUUUGAACCCAGAUUCUGAGACUGAUGUUACUUUUUAUUCCACUGUGCUACUGCAAUGGAGUCUUAUACUGUAGUUAGAAAUUGUUCAAAAAGUCAAAUGUUGCAAUUAAUUUUACAUAGGCAACUCCCAAAAAUCCAACAUUAACUCAUGACUGUGUAUCAGUUAUGGCAUAAAAUUUCUCAAAGCAUAAUUGUGGUCAAAUGAAAAGUUUCAAAUAUUUAAAGAAAACAAAGCAGACACUGAUCAUUUUCACUGAGUAUCAAUUUCAACAUAAAGAACUAUAGAAAAUUUCCAUUAAAUGUACCUGGAAGCAAGGCCUGGUGAUGUAUCGUAUUUUCUUGUGUAUAAUGAGCACCCAUGUAUAAUACACACUCCCAAAGUUGACCUCAAGAUUCUGGAAAACCCUUGUUUUCAAACUCACAGCCCUACUUUUAUUUUGUAAAUUAGAAAACAAUUGUGGCCAUCUGUUUUCCCG